rnacentral:rRNA from 1 species
GGUCAAGUUAUUAAGGGUGCAGGGCGGAUGCCUUGGCACUAGGAGCCGAUGAAGGACGUGAUAAGCUGCGAUAAGCUUCGGGGAGUUGCACGUAAACUUUGAUCCGAAGAUUUCCGAAUGAGGAAACUCACUUAGAGUAAUGUCUAAGUAUCAUUAAGUGAAUACAUAGCUUAAUGAGGGGAACUCAGGGAACUGAAACAUCUAAGUACCUGAAGGAAGAGAAAGAAAUUCGAUUCCGUAAGUAGCGGCGAGCGAACGCGGAUUAGCCCAAACCAAUAAAGUUUUCUUUAUUGGGGUUGCGGACAUAUCAUAACGAAGAGGUAUCGUAAUUGAAGAGGUUUGGAAAGACCCACCACAGAAGGUAAUAGUCCUGUAUGUUAAACGAGAAGACUUCAGAUAUGAUCCAGAGUACCACGGGACACGUGAAACCCUGUGGGAAGCAGGAGGGACCACCCUCCAAGGCUAAAUACUACCUAGUGACCGAUAGCGU